AUAUGUUAACAAACUUGAGGACUUGAAGUACGAGGAGAACUCGGUUAAGGCAGUGCAAUGUCUCAAUGACAUGGUCACCAAUGCAUUGUCACAUGUAGAAGAUUGUUUGACUUACAUGUUCAAUUUGCAUGAUCCUGCCAUCUUUCGAUUCUGUGCCAUUCCACAGGUCAUGGCAAUUGGGACAUUAGCUAUGUGCUACGACAACAUUGAAGUCUUCAGAGGAGUGGUAAAAAUGAG
rnacentral:misc_RNA from 1 species